ACAUACAAUAGAGUACGUUAUAACCCUUUGCAUAGAAAGGUCUGGU
rnacentral:rRNA from 1 species